rnacentral:tRNA from 1 species
UAUAGCUCAAGCAGUAGAGUGCAUGCUUAACAUGCAUGAGGUCUUGGGUUCAAUCCCCACUA